UACGUAGGGUGCAAGCGUUGUCCGGAAUUAUUGGGCGUAAAGAGCUCGUAGGCGGUCUGUCGCGUCUGGUGUGAAAAUCCAGGGCUCAACCCUGGAAAGCGGGUGGAUACUGCCGGGCUAGAAUCCGGAAGAGGCGAGUGGAAUUCCUGGUGUAGCGGUGGAAUGCGCAGAUAUCAGGAGGAACACCAAUAGCGAAGGCAGCUCGCUGGGACGGUAUUGACGCUGAGGCGCGAAAGCGUGGGGAGCAAACAGG
rnacentral:rRNA from 1 species